AUUGAACGCUGGCGGCAGGCUUAACACAUGCAAGUCGAGCGGGCGAGGUUGCUUCGGUAACUGAGCUAGCGGCGGACGGGUGAGUAAAGCUUAGGAAUCUGCCUAUUAGUGGGGGACAACAUUCCGAAAGGGAUGCUAAUACCGCAUACGUCCUACGGGAGAAAGCAGGGGAUCACUUGUGACCUUGCGCUAAUAGAUGAGCCUAAGUCGGAUUAGCUAGUUGGUGGGGUGAAGGCCUUCCAAGGCGACGAUCUGUAGCGGGUCUGAGAGGAUGAUCCGCCACACUGGGACUGAGACACGGCCCAGACUCCUACGGGAGGCAGCAGUGGGGAAUAUUGGACAAUGGGGGGAACCCUGAUCCAGCCAUGCCGCGUGUGUGAAGAAGGCCUUUUGGUUGUAAAGCACUUUAAGUGGGGAGGAGGCUCUCUUGGUUAAUACCUGAGAAGAGUGGACGUUACCCACAGAAUAAGCACCGGCUAACUCUGUGCCAGCAGCCGCAGUAACAC
rnacentral:rRNA from 1 species